CUCCCUCCCAGAUCUAGCGAACCUUCCCACGCCCCACCCCCUCUUCGAUCCAGCCACCCACCCCGCCGGCGCCGGCCAGCCCCCGCCCCGGGAACCAGCCGUCGUGCCUCUCCCGCCCCGGGAACUUGCCGCCGCACCGUCCGCCGCCCUGAUAAUCGACCGCCGUGUCACCCCUGCCUUGUAUUGCGCCGCCGCCGGGGAUCGCGCCGCCGCUGCCGCUGCCUUCGCCCUCCACGCAUCACGCCACCGCCGCCGCCACUCUCCCCGGAUCGCGCCACCACCGUCUGCCGCUAGCUACUACUACCUCUGCAAUCCUCCGCUAGCUGCCGCUGCAGUCCACCGCUAGCUCAGGCGGGGGAGGCAGUACUUCUCCGGCUACCCCCGCGUCACCUGUUGCCGCCCUGAACAACGUCCGGACACCACCACGGAUUGCCCCUGGUGCUGCUCGAACUUCUCCACGCGGGCGACUGGUUGCUCGAACUUCCCCUUGUCAGCCAUGGUGUGCCUCUGUAAACUCUCAUGGCGGCUCCUCCCCUGUAGUACAAGCGAGGUCAACUGCGGCUCGAUGGAGACGCAAAAAUUGUGGUCUUACCUGACCCAUGGUCCCUUGCUACCACGUAGCCUCUUCCCAGUGGGGCCCCAUCGCUGCAGCACUCAGCGUGUUUCGCCGCUGCCAGCUUUGGCCGUUCAACUGCACAGCCCCAAGAAGUUCGGCUGAGCCACUCGGUUCCCACUGCUGUAGCGCCCAGACGAGGCCCAGGUCCUUAAUAUUCCAGGCUCCUACUUUUGCAGGUAUUUGAGUUUCAGCAGGUAUUUGAGUUCAGCGAAAGAUUUGGUGAGAGACAGUGUGAGCGAUCUGCACCACUGCUUAUUAUUUCGGUUCAGAUUGGCGAAUCCUCACAUUGCCGGACAUCGACCAUGCUGCUCCUGUACUGAUGAAAUUUUGCACGAGUUAAUUUUGGAUGGAUCAUGUGUCUAUCAUCGACACUUUGUUUGUGUAUAUGCGAAUGCAUCUUCUUUCUAUCAAAAACAUUUGUGUUGUUUAUCAUGUGGUAUGUACCCAAAAAAUUCUUUUGGCCCUUGUUUGAUAUGUACAAUAGUUCAAUCUUGAAAAAUUACA